AUGACGUAUCACACAUGCAUAUCGGAUCAUUUUGAAAUUUGGCCAAAUUGGGGGUCUUAGAGCGGAACUUCAAGUUACCUGAGUGUUUUCCGCCAUGUGUAGUCAUUUUUUUAAUGCUUCAGCGCAUGUGGGUGAGUUUACUCAGCGUGUGUCUGUCUGCUGAUUUGUGCGCAUGUGUAACACUUGAACGGGCUCAAUGGAAAAAGGCAGUCUGAACGAGCACGCCAAAAAAACAUAUGACAAAAAAAUCGGAAUUGUGCGUAAAGACCGGCGGUCUGAACCCAGCCUUAAGUGACUACUGUCCAAAAAACCUGCUGUUAAACAGUGAAAAUUAGAGGAAAACUUGUCAAUAUACAGUGUGGGCCACUGUACUCUAAGUAAAAAAUGUUAGUCAGGAACCUUGUUCAUGUUUUUAUUUUGACAGUCGCUUGACAGGAAGUAAUGUGGUGGUCGUUUUUGUAGUGUUCUUGUCUGCCUGUUCAUGAGAACUGGUCAGCAUUCUUCAUCUUGCUCACUUUGUUGAGGCAUUGAAAAGCAGUUUUUUACACCUUCGAAAAGAUCAACUGUUGUUUUCUCGUGAAGAUGCAGUCAGUGGGGAAGAGGAUGUGCACAAACCUCAGAGAUAUGUCGCCAGAACCACUUGAUUCUUCCGUUGAGUGGAUCGGAUAUGAUGAGGGGGAAGACCAAGAUGACGAGCUCUCAACGUCAUGUCGCCAACCGGAGAAGAACGAAUCAAAGCCAAUGAUUGAAGAGAAGCUAGCUACAUUUGAAAAGAAGCUAGCUACAAUGGAAACACGUCCCGAAUCAAACCUAAUGAUUGAAAAGAAGCUAGCUACAAUUGAAGGGAAGUUAGCUAAAAUGGAAACGCCUCCAAAAUCAAACAUAGUGAUUGAAAAGAAGCUAGCAACAUUUGAAGAGGUGCUAGCUAAAAUUGCAACAACUACAGAUUCAAACAUCAAGAUUAAAAAGAAGCUAGCUAAAAUUGAAAAGAAGCUAGAUAAAAUGGAAAAAGAUUGCGAUAGUUUGAGUAGAACCCUGCUAUUUGUGAGAGACUACGCACAAAAAGUGAAGGAAUAUCUUCGUGUGGAAAACAAUUAUUGAACGACAUACUGUUUUCAAAUAAUAAAAAGAAACUGCUCUUUCAGUCAGUCAUU